CCAACGGGUCAGCAAGUGAAUGGAUGGAAGCAACAGCUGCAGCAUAUGUGAAGGUGGAACCACGAAGGAACGACUUUAAAUCUAACGGUGACACGAUGCAUCACUGUGCUAUUAGACUUUGGGGUAAGCAAAGCACCCGUAAAAGCCCAGCAGCAGAAGACGAUAAAGCUGCUAGCUUCACCAAUGGCCCGCCACAAACUGACACAUUGUGCGGCAGCAAACCACCAUGCUUCAUCAAUGGUUUUAUCAGUCAUGGAUGUAAAGAUGGGAGCACUAAUACAUCGCCUUUGAAAGUCAAAAAGAAAAAACGAAAAUGUUGCAGGACCGGUGAAGGCGGUGAUCCAAAUGGAUUCUCAGCCAAUGGAACCACAGAGGACGAGAAAAUGCUGCCACAUCCAAAUUUACCAUCAGCACGCAUAAAACAAAGGGCGUCAAAGAAAUUGAAAGACAAGAUGUGGAAAGCUUGCAAGGAGUUUCAAGAAAAUUCCACUCUUGUGCAAGAAGAGGAAAACUGGGAAAGUGAAAUCCAAGAUGUCAUCAUCCCUGACUGGAAGAAAAUGCAUUUUGGAGAUUCACCAUAUGUUCCAGACGAUCUGCUCCAUUUUUCCAUGCGAGGUUUGACGCUGAACCCCCAGGAUUUGAUCUUUCAGAAAGUCGGUUAUCGGCCAGCAAAGCACCACCCUGACCCCAUUCAUUGGCAUUAUUACAGCAGGUCUAGUGAGCCAGGACAGUUUGCUGAUGCACAGGAAGAGUAAGCACAUUUUUGAUUAUUGUGUAAAGUGGUUAGUUGACCUUUAACAAUCAUCAAAAGUCACAGAUCAAAGCAAAAGGGUUUUUGUAGUUUGGAGUUUUUUAGUUUGUUUUCCAAUCGUGUUUUUCCAAUCUGCUUUAGUCGACAGCUACACCUCAGCAGGCAUUUCUCCUGUCUGUCCUGUGUAUCGAGUUUCCUGGAAUUAUGAACAGCUCAGUUUUAAAAAAGUUCUUUAGCAUUUUGCUGUUUUAUGUUUUAUGACAAAUUUUAUUGCCUAGAAAUUUUUACCAGUUUAAGGCAACCAAAAAAAACCCAAACACCUUAAUAUAUUGUUUACAAAGCUGAUUUCACUCGUUAGCCAGUCGUUUGUGCCCUUUUUGUUUGCACAUCAACAAUAAAAGCACUUUUUACCAACC
rnacentral:lncRNA from 1 species